GUGGGCCCGUGCGCUGCUCCUGAGCGGCCGGGCUCUGCGCCCCUCCGGGUGCAGCCCGCCCUCUGUCGGGUGUCCCUCUCUGGUCUGUGAACCCCCUGAGGGGCAGCCAUUCCUGUCACCCCUCAUGUGUGUCCUCCCAUCGCCGCCGGCGCCCAACCCACAGUGGAGCCCGGUCACCGGCUCUUUACCAGGUCAUGCCCUGUCCCCGGGGCCGGCCCCGGUUGUCCUGCCUCCCUUCGCCUCCCCUGAGUCUCCUGCUUUGUACCAAGUUGGGUGGUCUAGAAACUCUGGCCUGGCCCCACGCAGUGUCCACAGACAACUCUGAAGAUCGGAAGAGACCCAUUUUUUAGUCUGUUGGCAUCUUUUGCUCUGUCACGUGAUGCAUUCACCGUCCGGGCUUGGCCAGCGCGGAGUCUGCUCGCUGUCCCCUCUGCGUGUGCCUCAGACACUGACGGCAGCGGUUACAGGCCAGGCCUGGGGGAGACCCUUGCACAGUCCCUGCCGUGCUGUUCUCAGAUCAGCCCCCACGCUGUGCCCUCAGCACCCAACACCAGUCUGCUCCCCCGAGGAGCUCGCGUUAGGAACGUAGACCCCAAGAUCCAUCUGUCAGAGGAGUGUCCGCGGCACAGGGGGUCGACGGGACCACACUGACACUUGGAAAAUGAUGCCUGUGAUAACAGAAGUUUCUGGACCGUGGCAGGGAAUCUGCGGUUCCUCGUGGACACGAUUCAGCUGUGUGCGGCCCACUGUGGUUCUUCCCCUCUGUCUCCCUGAGAUGCACACUUUCCCCCAAGACUCGACAGGCACACCGAGAAUUCCUGGACUGUCCUGCCAUGCCACCAACUUAGCUUUGUGGUUUCAUCUACACACUUCACAUCAUUACUUACGGUUUAUUUCUCCUGACCAGCUACGAAGGCGGUCUCGCUGGGUUCUUUGCCCUCUUCUCCCCCAAAUGCUAACCAGGGCAGGAUUUUGUGUUUAAAGCACCAGUCAGGGGGGCGCCUGGGUGGCUCAGUCGGUUGAGCAUCUGACUUCAGUUCAGGUCAUGAUCUCAUGGUCUGUGAGUUCGAGCCCCGCGUCGGGCUCUGUGCUGACAGCUCAGAGCCUGGAGCCUGCUUCAGAUUCUGUGUCUCCCUCUCUCUCUGACCCUCCCCUGCUCAUGCUCUGUCUCUCUCUGUCUCAAAAAUAAAUUAAAAAAUUAAAAAAAAAGCA
rnacentral:lncRNA from 1 species